CCUACGGGAGGCAGCAGUGGGGAAUAUUGGGCAAUGGGCGAAAGCCUGACCCAGCAACGCCGCGUGAAGGAAGAAGGCUUUCGGGUUGUAAACUUCUUUUGACAGGGAAGAGCAGAAGACGGUACCUGUCGAAUAAGCCACGGCUAACUACGUGCCAGCAGCCGCGGUAAUACGUAGGUGGCAAGCGUUGUCCGGAUUUACUGGGGGUAAAGGGCGGGUAGCCGGGCUGAUAAGUCAGAGGUGAAAUCCGGGGGCUCAACCCCCGAACUGCAUUGGAAACUGUUGGUCUUGAGUAUCGGAGAGGCAGGCGGAAUUCCUAGUGUAGCGGUGAAAUGCGUAGAGAUUAGGAGGAACACCAGUGGCGAAGGCGGCCUACUGAACGACAACUGACGGUGAGGCGCGAAAGCGUGGGGAGCAAACAGGAUUAGAUACCCUGGUAGUC
rnacentral:rRNA from 1 species